rnacentral:rRNA from 1 species
UACGUAGGGCGCGAGCGUUGUCCGGAAUUAUUGGGCGUAAAGGGUGCGUAGGCGGUUCGGUAAGUUUCGUGUGAAAUCUUCGGGCUCAACUCGAAGCCUGCACGAGAUACUGCCGGGCUUGAGUGUGGGAGAGGUGAGUGGAAUUUCCGGUGUAGCGGUGAAAUGCGUAGAUAUCGGAAGGAACACCAGUGGCGAAAGCGGCUUCCUGGUCCAGCAUCGACGUUCAGGCACGAAAGCGUGGGGAGCAAACAGG